rnacentral:rRNA from 1 species
UUGCACCGGGGAUUAGUGGCGAACGGGUGAGUAACACGUGAGUAACCUGCCCUUGACUCUGGGAUAAGCCUGGGAAACUGGGUCUAAUACCGGAUAUGACUCCUCAUCGCAUGGUGAGGGGUGGAAAGCUUUUGUGGUUUUGGAUGGACUCGCGGCCUAUCAGCUUGUUGGUGAGGUAAUGGCUCACCAAGGCGACGACGGGUAGCCGGCCUGAGAGGGUGACCGGCCACACUGGGACUGAGACACGGCCCAGACUCCUACGGGAGGCAGCAGUGGGGAAUAUUGCACAAUGGGCGCAAGCCUGAUGCAGCGACGCCGCGUGAGGGAUGACGGCCUUCGGGUUGUAAACCUCUUUCAGUAGGGAAGAAGCGAAAGUGACGGUACCUGCAGAAGAAGCGCCGGCUAACUACGUGCCAGCAGCCGCGGUAAUACGUAGGGCGCAAGCGUUAUCCGGAAUUAUUGGGCGUAAAGAGCUCGUAGGCGGUUUGUCGCGUCUGCCGUGAAAGUCCGGGGCUCAACUCCGGAUCUGCGGUGGGUACGGGCAGGCUAGAGUGAUGUAGGGGAGACUGGAAUUCCUGGUGUAGCGGUGAAAUGCGCAGAUAUCAGGAGGAACACCGAUGGCGAAGGCAGGUCUCUGGGCAUUAACUGACGCUGAGGAGCGAAAGCAUGGGGAGCGAACAGGAUUAGAUACCCUGGUAG